rnacentral:misc_RNA from 1 species
GCGAGGGCGGUGGUUGCGUCGAGAGGAGCGUUGAGGGAACAAGGCGAGAGCGUGGUUUUGCUCGAGCAGACAGAGAGAACGGAUUACGAGAGGAGCACGAGAUCGCGGGAGGCUCGCCAGUGGGGAAAAGCGAUAAGAAAAAGCACAGCGAAGGAAGGAAGAUGGGAUGAAAGAAUGGGAAAUUAUUGAAAAAUUGAGAAAAAAAGAAAAAAGAAGAAACUGUGAGGCGCUCGGCCAGCAGCCCUCGUCAAGAAUCGUCGCUCGCGAGUUUUUUUCGUUGGUGCUUUCCUCUCGGCCGGAUUGUGUAUCGUUCGUUUGGUCGCGCUCUCGGACGAUCCUCGUGUCGCACGGCCUUAAACUCGUUUCCAUUCUCAUAGUGCUUUCUCCCGAUUGACUUUCACGAGAACAAGUCUACAGAGGAGGCUCAUCGAAGAGUGCGAGAGGGUCGUCACAAAAGGGGAGAGCUUGAUAGAUCGAAAGACGAAAAAUCACAUUGGGACAGUAGUGCAGCUCCGUGUUGGUCAGACGCGAGGGAAAACUCUCGCGAGAAUGAAAUGUUUAUCGUCCAAAUAAAAGCAUCCUUUUCCAUGGUAAUGACACCUCUUUGAAAUCACUUGAAAGUUCGUGUGCUGUGUAUUUGUGGCGAAUUUAAGGUAGAAAAUAUUAUCGGGCGGUCCGCGCGACCCCUUGAAAUUCUACAGCUGUGCUGAAUUUAAGCCGGGGUGGAGGGAGGGGGAUCGUUCGCUCUCGUCAGGGGAUUAAAAUCGUGCUGCUGCUGCAGCAGCACCAGCUGUACGCUCGCGACGAAAAACUCGUAUAUAUUUAUAUAUAUCUGUGAAUAUAUACAUAUGUCGGACAAAUCGCUGUCACGCUGACACACUUCCCUCCCACUAAUUUUCCACCCUUAUUUAUUUAUUUAUUUAUUUAUUCGAUCAUUGGUGCCGCCUCCUCCUCCCCCCCCCCGCGCCCCUCCUCGCUCCUGCAUCCUCGAAUAAUUAACCGCGUAAUCGCGAACGCUGCAUACUUUCACCGUUCGUCGUGCCUCUCUGUGUUCCUCUUGUGUUUCUGUGCGGUUACCCUGUGUAUUUCUGUGUGCUCGAUUUGGGGACGCAUGUGCACGAUGCACCGAGAAAUUCCUCGAGGUACGAGCGAAUCAACCUACGGAAAAUGCGAUAACGUUGCUACUGGGAUUUAAGGUUAAAAGACACGCGAGCACCGAACGAUAUAGGCGUCACGGACUCCUCGUCUACUCGCAAACCAACACCGAACUUUCUUCAACGUGCGUGCAUCCCAAAAAUAUCCGGAACGAAACGGCAGACGAAGGCUCGCAGUAUCCGGGAGAAAGGACUCGAAAGGCGAGGAGAAAUGAGGCGGACGUGACGUCACAAUGACAUGAUGAAGAGCCUGGUGGGGAUCAUGUGGAUAGUGUUGGUUCUCAUAUCAGGAUGCUCGGGGAACCCGGACGCUAAACGACUCUACGACGAUCUUCUCUCAAACUACAACAAACUCGUGCGUCCCGUUGUCAAUGUAACGGAUGCCCUAACCGUUAAAAUAAAGCUCAAACUCUCGCAGCUCAUCGACGUGAAUCUCAAAAAUCAGAUCAUGACGACUAAUCUCUGGGUCGAGCAGUCAUGGUACGACUACAAACUUCAAUGGGAUCCAAAGGAAUACGGUGGCGUUGAGAUGCUGCACGUGCCGUCCGAUCACAUAUGGAGGCCAGAUAUAGUUUUGUACAACAACGCCGAUGGAAAUUUCGAAGUGACACUGGCGACCAAAGCAACGUUGAAUUACACGGGCCGAGUGGACUGGAAACCGCCGGCUAUUUAUAAGUCUUCCUGCGAAAUCGACGUAGAGUAUUUUCCCUUUGACGAACAAACGUGCGUCAUGAAAUUCGGAUCGUGGACUUACGAUGGAUUUCAGGUCGAUCUCAGGCACAUAGACGAGGUUCGUGGAAGCAACGUAGUCAACAUCGGUGUCGAUCUUUCGGAAUUUUACACUUCCGUAGAGUGGGACAUACUCGAAGUUCCAGCAGUCAGAAACGAGAAAUUUUACACGUGCUGCGACGAGCCUUACCUCGACAUAACGUUUAACAUUACGAUGAGACGAAAGACCCUUUUCUACACGGUCAACCUCAUAAUACCUUGUAUGGGAAUAUCCUUUCUCACCGUGCUCGUAUUUUACUUGCCGAGCGACAGUGGUGAAAAGGUGAGUCUAUCGAUUUCGAUUCUACUCUCGUUAACGGUGUUCUUCCUCCUCUUGGCCGAAAUCAUUCCACCUACCUCGCUGGUCGUACCCCUGCUCGGAAAGUUUGUACUUUUCACCAUGAUCCUCGACACCUUCAGCAUCUGCGUGACCGUCGUGGUCCUCAAUGUACACUUUCGGUCGCCUCAGACUCACGUGAUGGCCCCAUGGGUCCGACGUGUGUUUAUCCACGUUCUCCCACGAUUAUUAGUAAUGCGCAGGCCGCAGUACCAAAUCGACAAGAGGACGCUGGACCCCCAUCACAGCCAACGGGUUAUGGUGAGAACUUGUAACGGCCUUGAACUUCGGGACCCAUCGUUAUUCGUCGAGGCGUCGGCCUCCGAGCUCGUCGAGUCGUCGGUUCUCUUUCCGAGUGUCGAUUCCCGCGACGAACUCAAUCCCCGCGAGUUGGAAGCGGUAAAUCUGGGAAGCACGUGUCGAAUCCACGGAUCUCCGGCCGCGGCACCACCGCCACAGCAGCUUCCUACCGAGGAGAGCGUUGAUGCUCUCUGCAAUGCCCUCCAUCAUUGGCAUCACUGCCCAGAACUCUACAAAGCUAUCGAAGCCAUAAGAUUUAUCGCUGAUCACACUAAGAGAGAAGAAGACUCUACCAGAGUUAAAGAGGAUUGGAAGUACGUGGCGAUGGUGCUGGACAGGUUAUUCCUCUGGAUCUUCACGCUCGCUGUUGUAGUCGGUACGGCGGGUAUAAUAUUGCAAGCACCGACACUUUACGACGACCGGAUCCCCAUCGACGUGAGACUUUCGGAGAUCGCGUCUACCACUGCCAAACCGCACAUCGUGACGAGCCUAUGAGUAACGCUCGCGUCUUUUCAUUCGAGAUAAUUAAAAAAUUGAAAUAACGAAACGGAAAUAAAGGAGUAAAAGAGAGAAAGAGAGAGAGAGAGAGAGCAGAUUAAAAAAAAGCGCCGUACAGGAGACGAAGCUCCCACGAGAAAACGAAGGUCCAUCCAAAAAUCUCCGUGUAAGACUGCGAAGAGUCUUGUCACCGAGAAAACUCGCUAAAUAAAUCACUAAUUAAAAAUUGCAAGGACAAAAAAAUAAGCAGAAAGAAAAACAAGAAAAUAUUGAACGUGCGCGCGCUGGCGCGAGCGCUGUAACUUGCAAUGUUUACGGAGGAAAGCAAAAAGUUUUCCAAACAACUCGUAGAAACUCGUAUAAUCGUAGGAUCGAUUUAAUUGAAAUACAAAAAAGCGAAAGAGGAGAAAAAUGAAGAAGGAAGAGAGACGGACUCGAUACGUCAUUCCGCGAUCCCGUCUAGGCCAGCCUCGAUUUCCAUUCCAAUCAGACCCCCCCUCCCCUUCAGACAGACUCGAAACUAAUAAAUAAUGCCCCCCCCCCCCCCCCCCAAUUAUUUUGCACAUUCAUACAUCCCGCCAACCAUUUUCGUCCAAGUACCCGAGCUUUUUUAAGCCCGCCAGGGAUGUACGAAUUAUUAAUGCGAGAGCUCAACGAGUUUCAAUCGACUGACCCAAUUCCAAUGCGCUUUUUAUCUUUCAUUUUUAUAUCUAUUCACUGUUUUGUCCAUUUGAUCAUUGAGUUCAGUGCGAUAGGUUAAGUUUUAUUGUACAAUAAUGUUUAUCGUACCAGUUGAACGUGUUUAUUCUCCAGAUCCGACUCGCUAAUCCUUCGAACACACAUUUAUUUCAUUUGUGUGAGAAACAAUAAGGCCCCGAGCGAUUGAAAAAACAAGUGGUCGAACUCGAAAUUCAUGAAAUCCCAAGUUUUCGAUGCACACGAUGAAGUAACGGCUCUAAUAUUCGUACACCCUGUGCACAGAGCAGGGAGGCAAAAGAAAUUAUUUGUAAUUGUCGAAAAUCGAAGAAAAUUGAUAAAUCGGAUAAAUAAAUGGAUUAAGAAAGAACAAAUACGUGAAUUUGUAAAGUAAGGCGAUUAGCCAGUCGAAGAAGAGCGUGGUUGCCUCGAGUCAUAUUCUCAUGAGUUCAGAAUCGAUAAUUAUACUAUAAAAUACACGCGUAUUGUAUGAAAAUAGACUAAGAAAACAAUGAGAACGAAGCAAGGUGAGACUUGGAGCGUGCGAACCGCGACCGAGGAGCUGUGCCCGUGUGUGUGUGUGUGUGAAUGUACGACGCCGGAGUCUGCAACGUUCGAGUCAAUCGAGACGAACGAAAAAAACAACUUGCAGUUCUCCAUUUUGCUCCUUCCUUCAUUUGCAAUUCUUCAUUUAUCAACCUACACAAAUGAUUCGUGGAAUAAAAAAUUGGUGAAUUGCAAAUGUCUCGUUCGUUUAUUUCGUUGAACUUGAAAUUUGCUAACUUCAGCGUCACCUGAAUGUGUUUUAAUGCAAGUGUGGGGUUUCAUGAAAAUAAUCUCACUUCCGGAUUAGCCGCGAUGAUGGGUCUCGUGUUAGUUUUCAAAAGCCAAGUGGUGUAAUAUGUACGUAGAAGCGGAAAAGCCUCGAGAAAAGUCGUGUGUGUACACCGAGAACAAAAAAAAAUUAUAUAUAUAUAAAAAAGUAAAUUAAAGAAAUAAUAAGAAAUGACAUCGUACCCACGAAACAUAUACUAGAAUAAUACAGAGAGCUCAUUAAUAUUCAAUGUCCCGUGUCAAUUGCGCUUGGGAUUGUUCUCCUGGGACUGUGAACAUUCGGAUUUGUUGAUUUCUUGGAAUUGCGACAGGUGGCAACAAAAUAUUCUUCACGCUUCUUCCGAUCUCAGAGAUCAUACUCAAGGGAGAAAGGGGGAAAUGUUUUUUUUUGUUUUCCAACGAUUUUUCGUUUAUUUGAUAUUUACGAAAAUUGAAUCUAUCAAAAUGUCGUGGAAAAACUCGAGGAAAAGAGGAGAACGAUUGGCAAUAACAGCGUCAGGAGAAAUCGUUUGAUUGUGGUGAGCGUAAAAAUCGGCGAGCAAGACCAAAGUGGGAACAAUUGACACGAGACAAUAUUUUGCCUGUUGCAGACUCAGGAAGAAAAUAAUUCGUUUCUCAAUGCUACAUCGAGCCUGUAAUAAAGGGGCCAUAUUUUCACUAAACAAAGGGGGAAAAAUAAAAUAAAAUAAAAUAAAAAAUAAACAUAAAAGUAAAGAAUAAAGCAAAGAAAAAUACAAAUAACGAUAAAAACGAUAUGACGGGAGAGGCGAGAUCGUUUAUCACAAAAAUGAAAUUCUAAAUAAUCUGCAUCGAUUUAAUGGCGCAGAAUAAGAGAGAGCGGAAGAAAAGAUUUAAAAAAGGGAAUAAACUGAUAAGAAAUAGAAGGCGGGGGCAAGAGAGAGAGAGAGAGAGAGAGAGAGAGAGAGAGAGAGCUGGAAGCAAAACAGCGAAAAGGGAAAGUGCGAGAGAAAAAGAGGGUCGGAAGUCUAAACGGAGAAGAGCCGACCCAAGUUUUUAUUGCUCAUACACAUAUAUGUUUGUAACAAUGAACAACGUUCGUGAAUUACAUUCGUUCCAUUAUCAUUACGUAUAAAACAUAAUAAAACAUGGUUAUACAUAAAAAUAUAGGAAAAUUUUUAAACACACACGAAUUCUCGAACACACACAUUCACACACCCGCACAAGCGAGUAUGAAAAAUAUGAAAACUAAUUAUAAAUUUCCAUGUAUAAUUGGGUUGAAAUGAGUUUUAGUCUUCCUGCGAGAUAUAUUAUAAUUACAUAAAUUUCGUAUCAAUGCGCGAAUUCAUUUUUCGUCCAUGUAUCUUUCUACACAGCAUUUAAAAAUUAUAUAUGCCGAUAUUAUAAAAGGGAAAUUGUGUGUGACCGUGUAUGUGUGUGUGCGUGCGUGCGUGCGUGCGUGUAUUUGUGGAAGAAUGAGAGAAUAUAGAUAAAUUUGCUAAGCGCUAUAUAGUCGAGUACCUAGAAAAUAAAAGCGAGACUUAUACAGCCGAAUAAAGUGACGAGAAUUUCAUUUUAAAAUACUCCCCACAACAUCCGUUUGUGGAAAGAUUUAUCGAUAAAUAUUCGCCAAUGAUGUAUUAAAAAUUUUCCCAUUUCAUUAAAUCGAAUAAUAAAAUUAGCUAUUUCAUGAUUAAUCAAUUCGUAAGUGAAUCGAUCGGAAUUAGAGUUUAAAGAAAAAGAAUUAAGAAAAAAAGAAAAUGAAAAAAUUGGACCCAAAAAUUAUCCAUGUCUCUGCCAAAAAAUAGAUAUUAAAAGGAAAAAAAAAGAAAGAAAGACAACUAAUUCAACUUUAAAGAACAGCUCGAUGAGAAAAUAUGAUGAAUAUUUUUUCAGUGCCCCUUCCAUUUUUCGAGCAUCUUUAUAAUAUCGAAAAGCCCUUUUUUUACAUUUUAUUAUGUAUUUUUUGGAUCAUAAUACGAGAGAAGAAAAAAAGAAAAAAUUAAUUCAUUUGAUAAAUUUUAUCGAGAGGUGUGCACGAGUGGCAUAACGGUGUAGUUUUUAAGAAAGCAAUUAAAUGUUUCAGAAGUAAGCACCAGUGAUAGAUAUCCUUAUUAACGACGAAUGAUAAAUUUAAAAUAUUACGCGGAAAGCAUAUUUAUUGAAUAAGCCCAAGCCCGUUACAACACAAAAAAAAACACAUUAAUUCUAAGUAAGGUAUUUGAAGAAACAAACUGACGAGCGAAUAUUCGUACGUCCGCCAUCACUGUGAACGAGUGACUCGAUAUACCGAGAACUGAACUAUCGAUUGAAAAUCAUCAACUUAUUUGCGCCCGAUUAUCAGCUGAAGAAAGAGUAAGAAUAAAAUCAUCUCUUGAUCUCUUGUCGCAAUUUAUCAUCGUAAUAGUUAUUCGUAAAAACGACGAUCGAUCCACCAUCGAUGUGAAAUUAUAUUGCCUGUACUUAACGAUUAUAGGAAAAGAAACACAUUUUACCCGCGACGAGAGAAUUUAGCGAAAAAAAAAACCAGCACGAAAUGUAAAAAAAAAACAAAAAACAAUGGAGAAAUAAAAUUUUAAUUGCGGGGCAAAUUAGAAUACGGAAUGUUAUCGAACGGUACGAAAUAUACCAAGUAUAUGUGUUUGUGGAAUAGGAUUAUCGAUUCAAAUAAGCGCAGACACAAAAAAUAACGAAUAUGAUUGUCGGUAGCCACUUCGCCUCAUUCGUAUCGUCUUUUCCACGCAGCAUUCACUAAAGGACAAAAAAUCAUGUUUUUUUUACACGAAAAACGUACACGCAUCAAUGUCCUCGAAUUUCUUUCUCACUCGUCAUUUUACUCCCAAACAAAACCGUUAUAAAUGCGUUAUUGUUGAACAACUUUUAGCGAUCAAUAUUCAUGCAUUUGAAAAAUUCCAUCACACGUAAUUGGCAAAAAAAAGAAAAUCGUGUCGCAACGUUUAGUAAAACAAGAACACAGCAUUUCGCGUAUAUACAUGUCACACAACACAACAUUGUUACAUCCAUAAUCAACGAGUUAUUCAAUCUCCAUUGAUUUGUAUAAUCAGACUGACAGAAAUUCAACUGAUUUCCAUUCAUUUUCAUUGUCAUUUUGUUUACAUGAAUUUCGUUACUUGUUGUGAAAAUACAUCAUUAUUUGAUUCAAAUCAUAUAUCUGUUACGAACGAAGGUGAGAAAAAUAUUGUUCGCGAAAAAAAAAUGAUAGAAAUUCGAUUACAGUCCCGGUUCGUCAAGAACGAAUUGAGUAGGGAGAGAUGUAAUGUAAACAAAAAAGAUACCGAGACCAGAGAGCCCAUUGUCGGCGUGAACGCGUGUCAAGCAACACGAAUGAGACAGCACACUACAACCAUAUUUUCCCUCGUUUUUUACCGAGUGCGUUAUCGAGUUAUAGGUUAGGUAUAUUACUCCAUGUUUUUCCAUCGUGAAAAUACUGAUUUUUCACACGAAUCUCAGCUCUUUCGUUUGUACAGAAUAAAUUCGAACUGUUUUUCUUAAAUAUCAUUAAUUAAUGAAACAACAUUUCUGGGCUAUCAGACUUUUUCCACGAUGAGUAUUUCGCUGGACGAAUAUUCUAAAUUCGUGUGUGUGUAUGUGUGGAGAACUUGAAGCAAAACUGAAUAUACCCAAAGCUCGUUCGUCCAAAUGAGACGUGAUUGUGAAACAGAAUAUCGGGACGAAUUAAAAUUAAAAAAAAAAGAACAAAAAACAAGACACGCAAGCACAUCAAAUAGUUUCGUUGCUCAAAAAAUUGUGCGUUAAACGACUGUAUGUACGGUAUGUUCUCUAUUUACUGCCACAUGUAGGUAAAUGUAACAAAACAAAGAUUAAAAAGGAGAAAAGAUAACGGGAAAACGUACUAUCGUUGCGAGCGAAUGACAAUUGCGAUUAUUAACUAAUUCUCAAAGUAUCUUUUGUCUCGCGGUAGUUAUCACUAUUAUAAAGAAUGUUGGGCGGAAGCGACUUCGGCCGAUUUGUCUCAACUCAUCAACGGUGAUCGUGGGAAUCGUCGAACGUUUUUUUUUUUAAAUUUGCAUUUCUACCACUGAUCAUGCACAUGUUUUUGGUCGUAGACACACAAAAUCAUUCGGGUUUCCUCAAACUAGACAGAACACUUUGAAAACAAAAAAUUGCAAAAAAUGUAUAGCAAAAAAAACUUGAAUUAGCGUCAAUUGGAAAAAUAAAAGUUGAGCAUUGAAUAUCGGAAGAACUUUAUUUUUUUUCAAAUUUCCGUUCAUUUCUGUAAUUAAAUGUAUUCUUAAAAAAUUAUCCCCGCUCCGACACGAUUGAUAAGUGAUUCAAACUGUGGGAGUCGCGCUCGCUUGAUCGGAAGCGUUCCACGAGACACGAAUAUGUCUAUCCAGGGGUGUAUGUAUAUAUGUCCGUGUACCGUCAAUUUGUUUCUCCUCAUGCUCAAAUGUAUUAUGGAGAAGGAAACACUUAUUCAAGUGGAACAUGAAAAAUUUAAAUGCACCCGUCAUAGACCCCGUGAAAAAAAUCGUAACUAAUUAGCGAAUAUUUGCUUUUCGGUGCAACGAGACACGGACUAUAAAAAAAAAAAAAAAAAAAAUAGAAAAACAAAAUGUGCACUACACGAUUUCACGUCAAUUUUAGGUUGAAACCUUGAUCCAUCUAAUUCGUGCAAGUUUUUGAAUAUUGACUCAAUAUUUGGUACAUCUAAAACUGCUAUCAAAAUGUACGUAUUUUUUUCUUUGUUUUUUAACAUUUAACAAUUCUUUUGGAAAAAUCGUGUGCCCCCCCGUUUCAUCCAUAUCUCUAUCGUAUUCGAGCGAAUCGUUAUACCGAAUCAUACUAUUUUGUUUAUCACGAAUGCAAAAUUGAUGAAGUUAUCGACAAUCGACAAAACUACGAAAUUCAAACGUCGGAAUAGUAAACGUACCCGUUGUGUUUAUUUGUUUGGAGAACGUAUGGAAGAAUCACGCACGAAUCAAUACUGAUCAGGGUUUUAUGUCAUGAAAUUGGCGUAAAAUUUCCGUUAUACAGGUUGUGCUACAAUCCCACACUGACGGCCAACACCAAAAACAUACGUUUGAAAUCGAAUUUCAAGUCGAACAAAUCGAAUAAAUAAUUUAGUCACGUUUUUUAAACAAAUUCGAAUCCUUAACCACGCGUUAUUAAAGCUGUAAGUUUUAUGGGAAUCAGUCUUCUGAGGGUUUCUCUAUUUUCAUUAGUUCAGUCUCUAAACCAAAACGAAAGAAUUUCGCCAAAAAGUUUGCUUUUCUUGCUAACCUCGAAAAUGAUAUAUUUAUUCGUUCGAAAUACUUUCGAAAAUUAUUCUGUAAGAAAUUUCGCGCACUGCAACAUUUGAUCUCACGAACCUUUGCCCGACCCGAUUUCAAUAAUCAACGUCAAAGAACAUUGAUCAAAAAGAUUACGAAACUUUUCGACUUGAAAAUCAUCUCGAAACCGAAGUUUAUGACACCAUCGGGUGACCGACGGCCUGGGUAAAUGCGUUUACCAUUGCGACACUCAACGAAAAGUUUUCAUAAUACAUCUAUAGAACAUCGUAACGAUAAUAAACACUAAAUGUUCGAGGUUAAUAAAAACGUUGAAUUAACGAUAAAAACAGCGUUGUAAGAAUAGCGUUUCUAUAAAUACUCGCCUCGUGAAAAAUGAAGAAAUACGAUUAAAAAAUUAAAGGAAAGAAAAAAUAUGUAUUGCGAGGGUUGUAACUGAAGCGUUGUUGGGGCAUCGAGCAGUCGACUGCUGUAUUCCACUCACUGAUUAUAUACACUAGAUAAAUAAAAUGACAGAAAGAGACGACAAAAAGUAACUCUAAACGAAUAGAAUUGAUAACACGUUCAGGAGAAUUGAAUAAAACAGUCACCAAACUCCGAUCAAUUUGCACGAUGCCCCACUUGAAUGGUAAAAGUGUUGAAGAUGAAAGAAAAAACAGAUAAAACCAACAAACAAACUUUCUACAUAACAGGUGUAUAUCUAUAAAAAUUGAUGAAUAAACUUGAUUUUUGUAUUA